rnacentral:rRNA from 1 species
GUAACACCAACUGGAGGACCGAACCCGCAUCUGUUGCAAUAGAUUGGGAUGACUUGUGGCUAGGGGUGAAAGGCCAAUCAAACCGGGUAAUAGCUGGUUCUCCGCGAAAUCUAUUUAGGUAGAGCGUCAUAUGAAUACCCUGGGGGGUAGAGCACUGGAUGGACUAGGGGGCCGCGAGGCUUACCAAAUCUAACCAAACUCCGAAUACCCAGGAGUACUGUAUGGCAGACAGACGGUCGGUGAUAACGUCGAUCGUCAAGAGGGAAACAACCCAGACCUACAGCUAAGGUCCCCAAAUGAUAACUAAGUGUGAAAGGAUGUAGGAAUUCCAUGACAACCAGGAUGUUGGCUUAGAAGCAGCCA